GACGAACGCUGGCGGCGCGCUUAAUACAUGCAAGUCGAGCGAGAACCGGAGCUUCGGCUCCGGGGACAGCGGCGAACGGGUGAGUAACACGUGGGUAACCUGCCCUCGGCACCGGGAUAGCCCGGGGAAACCCGGAUUAAUACCGGAUGGCCCUUCCGCUCUUCGGGGCGGUCGGAAAAGGUAGCUUCGGCCUCCGGCCGAGGAUGGGCCCGCGGCGGAUUAGCUUGUUGGUGAGGUAACGGCUCACCAAGGCUCCGAUCCGUAGCUGGUCUGAGAGGACGAUCAGCCACACUGGGACUGAGACACGGCCCAGACUCCAACGGGAGGCAGCAGUAGGGAAGCUUGCACAAUGGGCGAAAGCCGGAUGCAGCGACGCCGCGUGCGGGAAGACGGCCUUCGGGUUGUAAACCGCUUUCAGGAGGGACGAAGCCACUCGGGUGAAUAGCCCAGAGGGUGACGGUACCUCCAGAAGAAGCCCCGGCUAACUACGUGCCAGCCGCCGCCGUAACAC
rnacentral:rRNA from 1 species